GCCGAUACACCCAAGGUUAAGGUGAAGAAUCCAGGCUUUCUAAAAGAGGUUUCAUCUGUUUGCAACAAAGAAGAACAUUUCAUUGGAGUAACUUUUAUCUUCUUCUUCAUUUUGGAUUUUCAGUUUGUUUUUUUU